GGAAGCCAGAGCCCAGCAAGGGCUGGCUGUUGUCUCCUGUUGUAGUAUUUUAUAGGGAGACAGACUCCUCCAGAACUGAUGAUAGAGGCUAGCCUGGGAGCACUUCCUUUUCCCAAUGUUGUCACGGGCCACUUUGCCUGGUAAUCCGAGGAGUUUUGGAGAGUGGCAGGAGCCUCAGAUGAUACCUGACACCAGCUGGGGAGCUGCUGCUCCCUCCGGGGUGUGCUGCUUCCCCGAGCCCAGCUGCCUGGUGUCCAUGGAAGCAUCUCCACCCAGAAUUUCAACAGACGGCAGUUUGUUGAAGUGGCCUAAGUGAGAAAGAGAAUGAGCCCCAUUCCCAGGAGGGUCGGCUGUGUUGUGGACUGUCACCACAUCUGACUCAGACAAAUUCUUACUAGGGAAGACGCAGGGGAGAUGAAUGAAGGGCGAAGACUGCAGCCACAUGUAGAGGCACAGGAAAGAGCGUGACCUGAGGGGCAUUUCUACCAGGAACCACCUGUCAAGGAUGACUCCCAAACCCGAACCAACUAAUGCCGCAAGCGCAGUUUGUCAUGAUCUUAAGUCACUUCAGCACGCAUGGGUGACUUCUGUUAUAAUUUUAAAUAGUAAAGUAAGAUUAACUCGUUUAUUCUGCAAGUGCAUACUUGUUCCUUUCCUUAUAUUACCUAUGUUGUGAAGACGUGGGAAAAAUAAAUUUUGUUAAAAGAUAAAUUUUAAUUUAAAUAAAGCUUCAUAUUUUAAAAACUAA